rnacentral:rRNA from 1 species
UACGGAGGGUGCGAGCGUUAAUCGGAAUUACUGGGCGUAAAGGGUGCGUAGGUGGAGCAUUAAGUUAUCUGUAAAAUCCCUGGGCUCAACCUGGGCAUGUCAGAUAAGACUGGUGUUCUCGAGUAUAGGAGAGGGUAGUGGAAUUUCCGGUGUAGCGGUGAAAUGCGUAGAGAUCGGAAGGAACACCGGUGGCGAAGGCGGCUACCUGGCCUGAUACUGACACUGAGGCACGAAAGCGUGGGGAGCAAACAGG